GACGAACGCUGGCGGCGUGCCUAAUACAUGCAAGUCGAGCGGACGGACGCGAAGCUUGCUUCUCUGACGUUAGCGGCGGACGGGUGUGUCACAUGUGGAUACCCUCCCUAUCAGACUGGGAUCACUUCGGGACUCCGUAGCUUACACCGUAUAAUCUCCUGCUCCGCAUGGUUCAAUAGUGAAAGACGGUCUUUCUGUAACUUCUAGCUGGUUCCGCGCUGCAUUAGCUAGUUGGUACGGUAACGGCCUACCAAGGCAACGAUGCAUAUCCGAACUGAGAGAGUGAUAGGCCGCACGGGAGGUGAGACACGGUCCAUACUCCUACGGGACGCACCAGUAUGGAAUGUUACGCAGUAGGGGGGAACCUGGCGGAGCGGCGCCACGUGAGUGAUGAAGAUCUUCGGAUCGUAAUGCUCUGUUAUUAGUGGAAAACAUAUUUGGAAGUUGCUGUGCACAUCGUGACGGUACCGAAUCAGAAAGCCACGGCUAACUACGUG
rnacentral:rRNA from 1 species